AUGGAGCCAGAGGAGGGCGCUGCCCCGGCGCCCGCGCCCACGCCCGCGCCGGCGGCGGCCCCGGUGCCACCGCGGGAGGCGAUCUCGUUGGAGAAGGCGUUCGAAGGCAAGACCCUGCCGACGUGGAACGAGCAGAUCACGGUCCGCGCCGUGGUGGUGAGCGCGGGGCUGGGCACCUUCCUCAGCUUCAUCGUGAUGAAGCUCAACAUCACCUCCGGCAUCGUGCCGUCGCUCAACGUCUCCGCGGGGCUGCUCGCCUUCUUCAUGAUGAAGACGUGGACGUCGGCGCUGGAGCGCUGCGGCGUCUUCCCGCGGCCCUUCACCCGGCAGGAGAACACGGUGGUGCAGACCUGCGUCAUCUCCUGCUCCAGCAUCGCCUUCUCCGGCGGCUUCGGCACCUACAUCCUCGGCAUGAGCCGCAAGAUCGCCAAGGGCUUCGACGAGGCCAACAACACCAUGAACGUCGAGGAGCCGUCGCUGUGGCGCGUCAUGGCAUACCUCUUCCUCGUCAGCUUCGUGGGGCUCUUCUCCAUCGUGCCGCUCAGGAAGAUCAUGAUCAUUAGCUACCGCCUCACCUACCCCUCCGGCUCCGCCACCGCCCACCUCAUCAACAGCUUCCACACGCCCCAAGGCGCCAUCCAGGCCAAGCAGCAGGUGUCCAUCCUGUUCAAGUCGUUUCUAGGGAGCUUCCUGUGGUCCAUGUUCCAGUGGUUCUACACGGCGGGGGACUCGUGCGGGUUCGGCUCCUUCCCCACGUUCGGGAUGGAGGCGUACAACCGGCGCUUCUACUUCGACUUCUCGGCGACGUACGUCGGGGUGGGGAUGAUCUGCCCCUACAUCAUCAACUUCUCGCUGCUCAUCGGGAGCAUCAUCUCCUGGGGGAUCAUGUGGCCCUUCAUCGAGAGCAAGAGGGGGGACUGGUACGACGCCAACCUCCCCAACAGCAGCCUCCACGGCCUCAACGGCUACCAGGUCUUCAUCUCCAUCGCCAUGAUCAUGGGCGACGGCCUCUUCAACUUCUUCUCCAUCCUCUUCCGCACCUCCUACGACAUGUACCUCAAGCGCACGGGCCGCGCCAAGGCCAACGCCGCGGGGGUCCCCUUCGCCGGCGCCGGCCUCGCGGGCGCCAACGAGAGGCAGGCGCUCAGCUUCGACGACCGCCGCCGCACGCAGAUCUUCCUCAAGGACCAGAUCCCCACCGUCGUCGCCGUGGGCGCCUACGUUGCCCUCGCCGGCAUCUCCGUCCUCGCCAUCCCGCACAUCUUCCGCCAGCUCAAGCCCAAGCACGUCGUCUGGGCCUACGUCGUCGCGCCCAUCUUCGCCUUCUGCAACGCCUACGGCACCGGCCUCACCGACUGGUCCCUCUCCAGCAGCUAUGGCAAGCUCGCCAUCUUCAUCUUCGGCGCCAACAUCGGCGCCAAGGACGGCGGGGUCAUCGCCGGCCUCGCCGCCUGUGGCCUCAUGAUGGGGAUCGUCUCCACCGCCUCCGACCUCAUCCAGGACUUCAAGACGGGGUACCUCACCCUCACCUCCCCGCGUGCCAUGUUCGUGAGCCAGGUCAUCGGCACGGGGAUCGGUUGCAUCAUCUCCCCCACUGUCUUCUGGAUCUUCUACCAGGCCUACGACAUCGGCAACGACGAGGGCUACCCGGCGCCCUACGCCAAGAUCUACCGCGGCAUCGCGCUCCUCGGCACCAACGGCUGGGACCAGCUGCCCAAGUACUGCCUCAGGUUCUGCGCCGCCUUCUUCAUCCUCGCCAUCGCCAUCUGCGCGCUCAAGGAAGUGGCCAACAACAAAACGUGGUGGAUCAGGGACUACAUACCCAGCGCGCUCGGCAUGGCGGUGCCCUUCUUCCUUGGAUCCUUCUUCACCAUCGACAUGUGCGUGGGGAGCUUGAUACUCUACAUGUGGUCCAAGUCCGACAGGCUGCACGCGCAGAUGUUCGCGCCGGCGGUGGCAUCGGGGCUAAUCUGCGGCGACGGGAUUUGGUCGCUGCCGUCGUCGUUGCUGUCGCUAGGCAACGUUGAACCACCCAUGUGCCUGAGGGUCUUCGACGCCGACACCAACUACGAGGUGGAGCAGUUCCUUUCGACCUUACCCAUCCCGGCGUAG
rnacentral:rRNA from 1 species